rnacentral:rRNA from 1 species
CAGGUAGGACUACCCGCCUGACUUAAGCAUAUCCAAUAAA